rnacentral:lncRNA from 1 species
UGCAAGUGGACUCCUACCCCAGUGUGGAACGUGGGUAUCAGAGAAGGCCCCCUUCUGGUUUGAAGGACGCUGAUGGCUUUUGAGCAGACAGUCAAAAAGGAUUGGUAUAGCAUUCUAGGGGCAGACCCAUCUGCAGAUGUGUCAGACCUAAAACAAAAGUAUCAGAAACUCAUAUUACUGAAGAUGAGCUAAGAAAUGUGGGGCCAGUAGAUGCACAGGUACACCUUGAAGAGAUGUCCUGGAACAAAGAUGAGGAGUCUUUCUCUCUGAGCUGUCGAUGUGGUGGGAAGUACACUGUCUACAAAGAUGAAGCACAAGAAGCAAACCUUAUUUCCUGUGAUACGUGCUCACUGAUUGUGGAACUCCUUCAUCAGAGCUGAGCUGAGUGUUCAUCCCUGGGGUGCUUUAACUACAAGGAGAAGGAUGCUUUUUGUUAUUAGCUGUAUAAUUUGUGAAGAUGAUGAAAUCUUCAAGCAAAGACCACCAGAUUAACAAAUAAAUUCAGUUGUUUAUAUAUCUAAAAUGUAAAUUAUAGGAUAUUACAAAAAAGGACUUGAGUAAUAUUUUUGCAUUCUUAGCUAACAACUUUUGUUUUCUCUUUGGUACAAACCGAUUAUUUGCCUUUUGAAAUAUAAGUAUCUUUUUCAAAAAUCAGGAAGAGUAUUCUUUAUAGUUAUUAAGGGUUUUGCUUUUUGCUUUAAUCUUUCUGCAUGUACAUACGUUUACGUGUGUGUGUGUGUGUGUGUGUGUGUGUGUGUGUGUGUGUGUGUGUG